GACAGAGGGUGCAAACGUUGUUCGGAAUUACUGGGCAUAAAGAGCACGUAGGUGGUGCGCUAAGUCACGUGUGAAAUCCCCCGGCUCAACCGGGGAAUGGCGCGUGAUACUGGCGGACUCGAGGCGGGUAGGGGUGAGCGGAGCUCCAGGUGGAGCGGUGAAAUGCGCAGAUAUCAGGAAGAACACCCGUGGCGAAGGCGGCUCUCUGGAACGCAACUGACGCUGAGACGCGAAAGCGUGGGGAGCAAACAGG
rnacentral:rRNA from 1 species